AAUUUUCGGAUAUCUGGAACUAAAAGCCUUCCUUUCUCUCUCACAUUUGAGAAACCCUAGCCGCUCUCUACAUUGUUCAUGAAUCCUUCACCUGCCUUUCCACUUCAAAACCGCAUCUACAAUCAGGUUCUAAAACCUGACAUAGAAAGGAUCCCUCGGUUCGAUUUGUUAUCAUCCCCAACAUAAUCUAUCUUGUACAGUUCGUCAUACAUUCUAUAACGAUCUUCUCCAACACUUGUUGCCUCUAACGCCUCUGUUGCUCCAAACUUCACUGUCUCCCUCCUUCCAAAACCUCUCCUCCAAUUCUUCAAAUCCCUUCUUCUCCGCAGUUUUGUAGAAUCCAUGUUGAAAGUAUGCAUAACAGCUUUAGUCUCUGCUUCCCUCUUCUUCGCUGCUGAUCAUGCUCUUGCAUUCAAGGGCGGAGGAGCAUAUCUUUAAAUCCCUUACUCGCUUUCCGGAAAACAACCGACAUAAACAUUGUUCUCUGUAUCACUCCAUCGUCAUUCUACUUUCAAGAUCUGCGACCUUAGUCGGCGUUGUAGUUGGCACACCGACGAUCGACUCCUCUUUGUAGACAAAUCCACAUACGCAGGUAAGAUUUUCAUGAUUUUUUUGUUAAUUAUGAGUGUGAAGUUGUCGACUGUUUCAUGUAGAAGGAAUUGAUAGCUGUUUUUGGUUUAUUAUUUCGGAUCUGGACAUGAUUUCGUCUCAAACAUAUAUCAUCAGUUAUGCUUUUGCAUUUUGGCUUGCUUUUUAAACUCAAAACUUCAUAUUGAUGGCUGUUUUGGGUUAAUUAUUUCGUAUUUGACCAUGGUUACUCUUUGUCUUUCACAUACACACUGCAUGGAUAUUUGAUAGAUCUGGAAUCAGAUCUCCUCUCUCUCUCUCACUCCCUCUACUACAAAAACGGGAUAGCACAAGUAACAACAACAACUAACUCAAGGUUUAUUUCGAGUUCUAUUUAUUUAUAAUUAUAUUUUUUUAAGUUCCAGAUUGGCUUAUUGUGAUUUAACUCCCCUGUUAUAUAUCUUCAUGUAAUGAUUUGUUUUGAAGCACAGAGUGUAUUUUAGCUUUCAUAUUUUCAGUCCAAAUAUGUAAUUUAACUUUAAGUUUUGUGGGUCUUUAAUACUUUAAAGCUUUUUUUAGUUAUUUUUUUUGCGGUUUUGAUCGAUUAAGGUGAAGAGUGGUGCCCAAAUGGGCUUCUGAUUAAGAUGAAUGAUAAAUGUAACUGUAUAUUACUUUUA